UGUGUUAUGAAACACUUACACUGGCUCGAACAGAAGCAGACUUUGCUGGACUGAAGAUUUUUUUAGUACAGAUCAGCACCCAGAUCAAGAUGACCUCUAGAAACAUGGAGAACCCACUGGCCAUCAGUGUUCUUGUCACCUUCAUAGCUGCAGGGGCCUCUCUGGAGUGCGAGAUUUGUCAGGGCAUUGGACAUAGUUGUGUGGGGCACAUGGAAACUUGCGCUCCUGCAUUGGACCGAUGUGGCAUUCUUCUGGGUGAAAUUGAGCUAGUUUGAACCCGUUGCUCUGUGUCCAAAGUCUCUGGAACAAGCUUGUUUUCUGCUGCAGCAGAGUCUAGGAGAGAGAGCAGUGGCCUCAGAUUACCCUGCACUGAAAAUCAGUCCAACCCAAACAUUAGGAAGAACUUCCUGAUGGCUUUUUGCUGAUGACCAUUGACAAAAUGUGCAUUGCAUCUACUUCCUGUGAGGCCUACACAGACACAGUUAUCAACAUGGGCAAAUCAGGAAGACUCAGGAACCGACUUUUCUGCUGUGUGGGAGAUGAAUGCAGGAGGAUCAACCCAAUCUGGACACCCAUGGAUACAACCCCCAAUGGGAUGGUAUGCCCAGCCUGUUUUCAAGUGAAUGAGUUUGAAUGUAAAAAGGAGGAAGAGCUCCAAUGUACUGGAAACCAGGAUAAUUGCCUUCUUGUGACUGGAACAGCCACUAGAGGAGGACAAGUUAUUCCAAUGACCAUGAAGGGCUGUACAAACAAUGCUGAGUGUCGCCAGCUGCGUGAUCAUUCGGAUACUGUUUCUGGGAUCAAUGUAAUUCUGUCAUACAGCUGCUUCCCAGCCUCUGGCAAAGGUGGUGCAUGGGUCUCCGAAGCCACCAGGAACAUUUCAGAUUCAUAUGGUAUUUUUCUUUCAAUGCUUGCUGGGCUCUUCCUUGUACAAUUCUUCCUCUGAAUCCACCCAACCAAUGACAGAGAUUCAGUUGGUAAGAUUCAAGCUAAGAAGUUGUGUUCAUUCUGACCAAGACCAGUGGAAGAAAACUACAGCGGAAACCUUUCAAGUUGUUGCAACUUCUUGCAUUUAGUGACAUUUUAUUAGUCACUCUGUACCCUGUACAUUGUGGAUUUUUCUUUGUGUAUGUACUCUGAUAAUUGCUAUUGCAUAAAAGGGUGAAAGAGUGAGACUGAGAUCAAACAAUGCUUACAGAAGCCUAGGCUGGCCUAUCAUUUGAGAUGGCAAGACACCCACCAGGGAGAAUGUUUUGGAUGUCAAGAAGCUGUUGUAGUAACAGGCCAGCUCUGCAAGAUUGUUUUGCAGGUCCUGACCAUUCCAUCUCCCCCAGAGACUGAGAAAGAAAGGUUAAUUACCAGCAGAUGAAAUAGUACCAACGCCUCUAAAGAUCCCAACCUCAGAUAUGUCAAUACACUACAACUGUUCUCCAAAACAAAGAACAAUCUCUUCCUCCUUGCAUCUUCUGUUGUGCAAAACAAAGCAACCUUUGCAUUUCUUUCCAUCUAA